rnacentral:miRNA from 1 species
UUGUAGUUCAGAGCCUCGGCC